rnacentral:tRNA from 1 species
CAAGACGUAGCUGGAAGACAACAGCAUUCAGCUCACGCCUGAAAGGCGUCUGCCACACAC